AGUUAAUCCAAAAAAUGUGUUUUGAAAGCACAAAAAAGAGGUUGAAUUCCUCUAUUAACUU
rnacentral:tRNA from 1 species